rnacentral:rRNA from 1 species
UACGUAGGGAGCAAGCGUUGUCCGGAAUCAUUGGGCGUAAAGCGCGCGUAGGUGGCUUCGUAAGUCCGUUGUGAAGGCCAAAGGCUCAACCUUUGAAAGCCGAUGGAUACUGCGGAGCUAGAGUACGGAAGAGGCGAGUGGAAUUCCUGGUGUAGCGGUGGAAUGCGCAGAUAUCAGGAAGAACACCCGUGGCGAAAGCGGCUCUCUGGAACGGUACUGACGCUGAGACGCGAAAGCGUGGGGAGCGAACAGG